CUGCGUCCACCGAUAGACUUCAAACAAUUUGCUGUUACUCUAUGGUUUGCACUAGAAUCAAAAGAAAAAAAAUCCAGCAAUUUCUGUCUGUCUCUAUGGCAGUCAGGGGAGAAUAGCUAAAAUU